rnacentral:lncRNA from 1 species
GCUCGAUUGGUGAGUUGUGAGCGCUUUUAUUAGGGAGGUGCGCGGAUUGUGGGUUUGUAUCGUUUUGCAGCAAGUUUAUUCCCCGAAACGUUCGCCUUCCUCUUCCCUUUCCUCGAAGCGGUUGUGAAAUGCUCGAUGACUUACGAGGAAAAUGUGGUUGUUUCCAAAAAAGCUUGACAAGCCCAGGAAUUGAACUUCGGAAGCAGCGAGACAACUCCUGAUCAAAUAAUAAUAGAAUAUCAUUGACACCUGUGGUAGAUUGAAAGCAUACAGCAGUUAAUUGUCACUUACCCAACUGCUGCAAAGAGCUUCGUAAUUUCCACAAUGUCUUCUUUUGUAUCAAUCGAAUAUUCCUCAAAGCAAAUUUCGUGGUGAACGUCAAAUCACAGACACGUCUUCAUUCCCUGACCUAAUUGACUUUAUCUCCAUUGAUGCUUCACAUGAUUCUCACUAUGGACGUUAUUUUGGUUCUAGUUCGGGAAUUGUGGCUCAAACCCGCCCUCGGAUAAAAGUAGA